rnacentral:ncRNA from 2 species
AUUGCUUAAGGGAAAGAGGUUCUCCCAUGGCGUGACUUGCCUGAACUGCCGAAAGGCUGAUGACUUCUGCAAUCGC